rnacentral:rRNA from 1 species
CCUACGGGAGGCAGCAGUGGGGGAUAUUGCACAAUGGGGGAAACCCUGAUGCAGCGACGCCGCGUGGGUGAAGAAGUAUUUCGGUAUGUAAAGCCCUAUCAGCAGGGAAGAAAGAAGACGGUACCUGACUAAGAAGCCCCGGCUAACUACGUGCCAGCAGCCGCGGUAAUACGUAGGGGGCGAGCGUUAUCCGGAUUCACUGGGUGUAAAGGGAGCGUAGACGGCCGUGCAAGCCAGGAGUGAAAGCCCGGGGCCCAACCCCGGGACUGCUCUUGGAACUGUGCGGCUGGAGUGCGGGAGGGGCAGGAGGAAUUCCUGGUGUAGCGGUGAAAUGCGUAGAUAUCAGGAGGAACACCGGCGGCGAAGGCGGCCUGCUGGACCGCGACUGACGUUGAGGCUCGAAAGCGUGGGGAGCGAACAGGAUUAGAUACCCGGGUAGUC